rnacentral:rRNA from 1 species
GAUGAACGCUGGCGGCGUGCCUAAUACAUGCAAGUCGAGCGAACGGACGAGAAGCUUGCUUCUCUGAUGUUAGCGGCGGACGGGUGAGUAACACGUGGAUAACCUACCUAUAAGACUGGGAUAACUUCGGGAAACCGGAGCUAAUACCGGAUGAUAUUUUGAACCGCAUGGUUCAAAAGUGAAAGACGGUCUUGCUGUCACUUAUAGAUGGAUCCGCGCUGCAUUAGCUAGUUGGUAAGGUAACGGCUUACCAAGGCAACGAUGCAUAGCCGACCUGAGAGGGUGAUCGGCCACACUGGAACGGAGACACGGUCCAGACUCCUACGGGAGGCAGCAGUAGGGAAUCUUCCGCAAAGGGCGAAAGCCUGACGGAGCAACGCCGCGUGAGUGAUGAAGGUCUUCGGAUCGUAAAACUCUGUUAUUAGGGAAGAACAUAUGUGUAAGUAACUGUGCACAUCUUGACGGUACCUAAUCAGAAAGCCACGGCUAACUACGUG